AUACAUGUUGGGAAUGAGGGGAGUAGCAGCACGUCCACUUUCACUCUCACAAUAACGCUGCCCAGGCACAGCCAUGAUUUAAUUAGAAACAUAUUGUCAAAGGAAGUUUGUUUAUUUUUUUAUAUGGUCGUGCGCACUGGUUAAUUCAGUUCAGGUCGUAUGUUUAUCUUUCCUUGCUAGCCGAGUAAUAAUACUUAGUAUGUUUUAGUCAUGAUAUAUGUUUAUACUCUGUUGCUCCCUCUUUUAUGCAAUCUUGCAAAGGGGAUGCUGCCGAAAUUUUAUAUAUGGACGUCGGAAGUGUAGUACAGUAGCAUUCCGGGUUGUUUGUGGAACCUGGAGUGUUACAGUUGGUAUCAGAGGAUAGGCUUUAGAUUCUACGCAAUUUGAAGAUAAAUUUGACACACUUGCACAUAUAGGAAGGGUAUGGGUUCAUAUAUUUUUCAUAUUAGUAUUUUAUUGUAUAGAUGACUAGAAUUUCCUUACUCCAAACCCCUUUAUGGUUUGAUGAGGUAUGUCGUUAACGACGUAAUGCUUGAUAUGAAAUGUUACUUCUAUUUAAUAUUGGUUUCUUGAUGUGGUUGUUAUUGAAAUUAUUAUGCGAGUGAAGCUACUAAUGUACUUAUUUUAUAUACAUAUCGUCAUGAUGUUUUUUGGGAUGCAAUGUUUACUAAUCUCUGAGCUAUUACCAUCAUAUAUUUCUAUAUGCUUGACUGUGGAUGUUUUUUUCCAAAAGGAUUCUUGGGUUCUAGUACUUGUAGGACCGAUUGUUUAUUGAGCUUGUGUAUAGAGGAUCUAAUCCGACUUGGUGUAGUGUGAAAACACUAUACAAUGAAGUUUUAUGGUGUUGUUGAGUUUGACUGACUGUUGGGUUACAACCCAACUUAUCAAUGUAAUAAUUCCAUGGGUGCAGUGCUUUACACCUCACCUUUUUUUUCGGCUAGUGUGGCUACUUGCCAACUUGAUCUUAGAGUACAAUAGGUUUGUCUCCAUAGAGCAAAGGCAAUGUUGUACUGCCUAUGAAAUCUUGAGACUAGAAGAACUCAAGUGAAUUUGCAAGAUGACGUGGGUAGAUAAGUCCAACCAUGUUUACAUGAUAGGUUUUCUUAUUGUGUGCAACCUUAUCUUUAAUAAUAAAUAGGGUGAUUUCAAGUGGAUUUUAUGGCUAUAUUAUAGUUGAAGAGGCAUGCAUGUUUUCCUUCUAUGGUUUGUUUCUAUAGCCAAAAAGGUUAUGCAUAAUUUUUAUUUGUUGGAGGCUAGUCAUGCGGACGAUAUGGACAACCCGUUUUAUAUUGUUUUUAAUCGCCGAUGAUACAUGGUAGUUUUUUUAUAUGAUCAGUUCUCUAUGCAUGCUUGUGGAAUUAUUAUUUGGACCGCUUUAUCUUAAACAAAGUCAAUGUUUAACUGGAAGUUGCUUAUGUUUGUUAGUCAUCUAUCUCUAUAAUGAUGUGGUUGUUGCAUUAGAUGGAGAUUUUUAUUAUAUGAAUGAUGGUUUGAUAGAUCAUGUAUGUCUACUACUUUGAAUUCAUCCUAUGACAUCACUAGGUACAAAUUGUUCAAGUGCAAUAAUAGGAGGUAUUGUUGUAUGUGAGGUUAAUCAAAGUAGUUGGGUUAGGUGGAUUAUCUUAUUGAAGUCCAAUUACUCCUGUUGAGCAUAGUAUCGUGUUAUUAUUUUAGUGUUGAAAGUAAUAUUUAUGAAGCUUUUGCAUGAGUCUGUGUCAAGAAGUACAUUAGUUUUUUCUUGUUGUUAUCCCUCCAUUGCUUUAUGAGUAUUGCAAAUUUUAUCUCUUUUGAGAGGGGGAAAAGAUGUUAUAUGACAUGAGCACCAUUUGCUUCACGUCAACAGAAUAGUUUUGGAGAUUUCUAGUAGUUGGAUUCUAGUGUAAUAACAACCAUGUUUUAUAGAGCUGGAGACGGGUAUGUCAGGUGUUUCAUACAUUGUCGGUACAUGGAUGUUUGACCUUAGUGGCAUUAACAAACGAGGUUGUUGAAUUCAUUGAUUGUUGUGCUUAGUGUUCUAACCUAUUUGGUAGAGUGUUAUUUAACGACUUUGUGGAGUUGCAUCCCAGUUUGGUAGUGGAAAAUCCUAGUGUUGAUGGCACCUGCCAAUGACUUGGGUUUCAUUUUAUAUUGUUUUUUUAUUGUUGAUAAUGUGUUGUUUGGUUUCGGGAGGCAUUUUAAAUUAGUUGGAGGCUGAAUCAGGCUUCACUUAUCUAGAAUGUUUUGUAGUAUGUUUCUGCAUCUUUCCAUAUGAUGCUUAAUCACCAUGUUUGGUCUAAACAUUUGAGAGAUAUGGGUUUCUUAAAACAUCUUUGUUGGUGUCUCUAGCAGAGUGAGUCUUUAAUUUUGUACGGAAGAGUAGACAUUGAAGACAGUAUAAUUUGGUCUUCGUGGAUUAUGAAAGUUUUAGUAAUUUCAUGAUCUUUUCAAAGAGUAUGGGUUUCUAAUUCUCAUUGCAUAUAAUUGGAGUUAGGUUGCUCUGAAGUUGUUGCACUGUUGUGUCUGAACUUUAGGCGUCGUUAUAAUCACCAAUAAAUCGACCGCGUUUUGAUAGUUGCAGAGCACAAAUUUGCGAAUUCUCUUUAAGCAAAACUUGUAGGUAUUUUCAGUACCUUUUUAAUGGGUAUUUACUUGUAACUGUCUGUUAAAUAGAUUUGGAGAGGUGGUUGCCCGGAUAUAAGUCGAAUCUCUAAUGUGCAGUAUCUCAGGCUGAGUUUAGCUGUAGGUCAUGCAGAGUUGUGGGCUAUAAGGAUAAAUUUGGGUGCAACUUUAUUGCAAAAGUCGCGGACAAAUUUCAAAACUUUUCCAACGCGUGUUCGUUGUAGUUUAAGUUGAGUAUAGCAGGAGUUAUAGGUUUUUGAAUUUUAGCUGUCCAUUGUUUCAAUCUUAUCAGUUUUGAAACAAAAGAGUUGCAUUGUUUUAUCGGUUUGGAAACCAAUUCCGAGACACUCAUUAUAAUAAAAGUUCUAGGGAAUGUUAUAAUCUUUUCAGUGAGUUUAUAUUUGCAAAAUUUUGUUAGCUGCAGGGAGUUAUGAUAUCAUGUAUAGAAUGUGCUUGGAUGAAUAUGUGGGCAGACAUAACAUGCUUAAAUUGAUUCUUGUUUGCAUGAUGUGAGAUUAGGCUUAAAUGAUUUAAAAAGUUAUCAUAUUGCUUCUAUACUUAUAUUUGUUCUAGGUGUCUCGUAAUGAAGAACCUAAAGUUAUUAGUCUUUCAAUGAACGCUUAAUCUUAGAAGAGUAAUGAACCUGAUAAAAUCUAUUGCUUGCUAUUGGGACUGCAUGACCAGUUUUAGUUAUACAGCUAGUUCAGUGAAGUAAACCAUCUUUUCUGUAGAGAUGUUAUAUAUAAAAGUUGUAGCCAACUUCUUUAUCUUACUUGUGUAAAAAUUUCAUGAUCAUAGGUCUAGUAGUUUGGGAGUUAUGAUUUUCUCAAGUCUAGUCUUGAAAUCUGUGCAGAUUCUAUACAGAUUUCGAAGCUGACCUUGUUUGCCUAAUUUAAACUUCGAAUAACUUAUUAUAAAUUAUAAAUAAGUUGUAGUACUUUUCUUAAUCGUUACAACAAAUUUUGGAUUUUUUUGGAGAUCUAUAAGUUAAGUUACAGCUGUUUUAAGUGUGAUCUCUGAAUCUGUCCAAAUUUGGACAGCAGAGCCUUUCUCGUGUCUUUUGACCUUAAUAUGCAUUGAAUUAACUUGAUAUGUUUAUAAAUGAAUUAUAGACAAUUCUACUAGCUUUCUAAAAAGUCUGGGAGCACCUGAAUUGGAUGAUUGAGACUCCAAUUAUGGAUUUUUGAAUUGAGUAAUUGAAUUAUGUCCAAGUCUGGACAGAAUUUACGUUUAGCACUGUUUGACCUUUCUAAGUGUCAAAUCUUGUUGUGAUGAUAAUACCAAGGGUAUAGUGGACUUUAUAAGUUUUCCAUAAAGUCCUAGUUUACUAAUUUUCGAUGCAUAUUUUUGUGAGUUAGGAGCAAAACAAUUAACUGCUGUGCUGUUAUCUAGAAAUAUGCAAGCAUUAAGUUGCUCUCUUGAAGUUGCUCUUGUGUGGCUAAGUUUGGUUUAGCCUAUAGGAACAUUAUAUGCCUUGCAUUCAUAUAUACAUUCCUUGAAGUACUUGCAUAUGUCAAUGAUUGAUUUGGUGUCAGGAAAGCUUGGUCCGAGGUAUAUAGGACCGUCUGCUAUCUUGGCCGAGUUGGCAGCUGGGCUUAGCACAUGUAAUUGUCGGAAUCUGUGAUCAGAGUACACCAAGUAUUCCAUGUCUUUUUGUUGAGGAAGUAUUUGCCGAAUCCAGACCAUCAAAUCGAGCUAGAGCCGAUUCCUGUGUAGCAAGAGCAGACUCUAGAGUGUCGUCUGCUGCGUAUCUUAGAAUCCUAGGAGCUUGAGGAGCUGAUGCGGCAGAAGUACUCGAACUUUUCUUUAUGUGUGAGUUUUGUUGAUUCAUUAACCUUUCUUUUGUUGUUCCGAUAGAAGCGUCAGAAUUCGAGGUCGAAUUCUUUUUAAGAGGGGUAGAGUGUGAUACCCGGUUUGCAAAGAAGAGAAGUUGGGGGUUGUUCUUUUUGUUUUUUUCCCUCAUCCGGUUGUUGUUUUGGGGAUUUGGGAUUUUGUGGAAAACAUUCACAACUAGGGCAGUAGAAUUUAUUUGGUUUGACGCUUGCGUUGCAGUUGGGAGCUGUCGCGUAGGUUAGUUGGGCCGCAAUUGGAGUUUCGGCCCAUUAACCCUCCCAAACCCUAGCCGCCUCCCUUCUAACCCCCUCCCCCCAUGUGCAGCCGCCCCCUCCCCCACUUCUCUCCCCCCUUGGCCGCCGCCCCCCUGCCCAUCUCCUCCUCUCUCAAUUCUUGCAGCCACCAAACCCUAGCCGCCCCCCCCUCUCAAUCCCCUCCUCCCAAGGUGCCAAUCCUUGCCGCUCGGAUCAUCGUCGUCGUGGUGCGAGUCUUCAAUCGUUUUGGUGGAGGGAAGAAGGGAGGAAGGAAAGGGGGAGAAUCCAAGGUGAUUUUUGUGUUCAUCCCUUGUUCAUUUGCGCUGCAAUUUAAUUGAUUAAAGGUUGCGUUUGCGAUUGGGUAGAGGGGGCUGUCCAGAAUUUUAGGUGGUGGGUGAACAGCAGUAGUCUAGCAGUUUCUGUGUUUUUUUCGUGAGGAAUUAAGGGAAAUCAGUUUGGGGAUCAUGUAGAACUUUACCUUACCUUUCCAACGAGUAUUUAUGCGCCCAAUUUGGAGUUAUAAAUUGAAAGUUAUCACCGUUUGAAUCCGGGUAUGUGGCUGUCCAAAAAAACAGAUUUUCAGGGGGGAUGAACAGCAGCAGUAUUAGCAGUUUCUGGGGAUUUUUUCGGGAGUAAUUAGUGUUAAUCAGUAUGAGAAUCAUGUAGGGCUUUAUGUUAUCUUUCCAACAAGUACUUAUGCGCUCGAUUCGGAGUUAUAAUUCAGGAGAUAUCGUUGUUUGAAUCCGGUUAUGUUGCUGUCCAAAAAAACAGAUUUUUCAGGUGGGUGAACAGCAGUGGUAUUAGCAGUUUCUGGGGAUUUUUUCGGGAGUAAUUAGUGUUAAUAAGUAUGAGAAUCAUAUAGGGCUUUAUGUUAUCUUUCCAACAAGUACUUAUGCGCUCGAUUCGGAGUUAUAAUUCAGGAGAUAUCGUUGUUUGAAUCCGGUUAUGUUGCUGUCCAAAAAAACAGAUUUUUCAGGUGGGUGAACAGCAGUGGUAUUAGCAGUUUCUGGGGAUUUUUCGUGGGUAAUUAGUGUUAACCAGUAUGGUAAUCAUGUAGGGAUUUGUCUUAUCUUUCCAAUGAGUACUUAUGCGCUUGAUUUGGAAUUAUAUUUUAAAAGAUAUCGCUGUUUGAAUCUGGGUAUGUCGCUGUCCAAAAGACAAAGAAAAACAGAUUACAGGGUUCAUCUUGUGGACUGUUUUGGACUAAUUAGAUAUUGGAAUUUAAUUAUAAAUUGUAUACAAAACUUGUGGGGAAUUUUAUGUAGAUGCCUCUGGAGUUUUUGUUUGUUACCACUGCUGUCAUAAUUUUAAAGUUAUGAAAUUAUUAAGCAGCGCCGCUGCAGUUUGGUGGGUGUAAGGAGAGAUGUAACCCGCGGCGGGGUUUGAGUUUGUGCGUAGAUGCGGCGUCGCUUAUGAGCCUGAUUAUGUGAUAUUGGUGUACUAAGUUAGGUGUCAAAAACAGGUGGUGGACUUCCGGAUCGUACUUAGGGAUUUGCCCGAACUUCCGGUAAAGGCAAGUAAAUACAGUGGUGGUUGCUACCGUUUGGUUUGCAUCCUAUUCCCUGUCAUUGAGUAUGCAUAAGUUUUAAUUAUGUUAAUCAUUGAAUUCUAUGAUGAAGUUUAUUUGUUUGGAAGUAUUAAUUCUCAAUUGUCUAAUAUUGUGGAUGAUCAUAAUUUGGUAAUGAUAUAUGUGGUUGAUUCCCAUCUGGAUGAAGUUGAAGUGUCUUUUUGAAUCAUGUUAUACGAAGUGUUGUAGGCAUGACAUGCACAUCACAUCAUCCAUCUUGCAUUUUGAAGUUAUGUCGUGAUCUUAUGGUCCGACCGUACCGGUACAUUUUUAGCAUCGUACGUUGCCCGAGGAGGGGUACGAUGCGGCUUCAUAUCCUUAGAGGUAUGAAGGCAGAAGUCAUCCUUGCAUUUGCAGACAUUUGCACUCAUGAGGAAUAUAUGAAGUGUGACUUUACUAUGUUACUAUUGUGGUUUCUACCUGCGAGGUGUGGUAACUAGGUGCGUUGUACGUUGUAUACGUGCUGCACCUUCGUAAUAAGAAGGUUGUGGAAUCAAGUGGUGGUAAAACAAUGUUCUUAUGUGGUUAAACUGUUUGAUAUUAUUUUACUUGCUGAGAUGUGUCAUCUCACUCUUGCAUUACUCAAUGCAGGUACAUGAUACAUGUUGGGAAUGAGGGGAGUAGCAGCACGUCCACUUUCACUCUCACAAUAACGCUGCCCAGGCACAGCCAUGAUUUAAUUAGAAACAUAUUGUCAAAGGAAGUUUGUUUAUUUUUUUAUAUGGUCGUGCGCACUGGUUAAUUCAGUUCAGGUCGUAUGUUUAUCUUUCCUUGCUAGCCGAGUAAUAAUACUUAGUAUGUUUUAGUCAUGAUAUAUGUUUAUACUCUGUUGCUCCCUCUUUUAUGCAAUCUUGCAAAGGGGAUGCUGCCGAAAUUUUAUAUAUGGACGUCGGAAGUGUAGUACAGUAGCAUUCCGGGUUGUUUGUGGAACCUGGAGUGUUACAAGGAUACAAAGAAUAUAAAGGGUAGAAAUUAUGAUUAAGCAAGAUUUGAACACACUAUCAUGAAAAGGGUCCUUAUAUGGCACAAAGGUAAUGGAGAAGUGUCAUAAGUGAUGUACCUUUGCGUUUUACCUUUUCAAAGGGGUGUUCCACACUU
rnacentral:lncRNA from 1 species